UGUGUGUGUGUGUGUGUGUGUGUGUGUGUGUGUGUGUGUGUGUGUAGAGGGGGAUCAAGCUGGGCCGGAUCACAGGAACACAGGAGGGAACCAGAACACCAAACACAGAUCGUUGGUUUGUAGAAAUGUCAGCACUUAUUCAGGCGGAUGUGUUGAGGCUUUCACAGAGAGAGAGAGAGAAAAACAUUUUUGUCAUUUACACGAACUGUCCCUUUAAAAUCAUCUUCAGUACAGACAAGCAGGAAGUUUGUUUUUGCUCAGCGGGUUCGGAUCAUUAAGGAACCUCGACGCCUGUGGUGUCGACAGGAGGUGGAUCAGCAGGUUCAUGUGAACGUCUCCACUCUGCAUCGACUCAUCAGCUCCUCAAGCUAUUUGAGAGGCAGCAGGUUGUGUGUGACCUUGUCGACCUGCGCUGGAUUAAGCAGCUAAUAUAUCUGUGGAAUGAUUCUGCAGGUCUAAUCAUAGCAGAGAUCAGAGAGCUGGAAUCAUGACAGCAUUUCUCUCUCUAACCCAUCUGAGCGGCGACAGGAAUGUAAGGAAGUGUCGGCCAUGUUGUGGCUCUGAUGUGGCGGUAUGUAGCGCCCGGGGUCACAUUUUGUUCUUCUGCUCCUCCGUCAUCAAUCUGCACGAGAAUAAAACGUCUCUGCCAGUGAGGAUUUUUUUAAAAAUGUGUGCUCACCACCAGCGAAGUGAGUCUGACUGCAGGAUGUUUCAUCCAGGCCGACAGACACGUUGGAGUAAAGUCCAGCUCCAGUCAGCAGUCAGAACAGAGGCGGUCACCUCCACGGAUCACCGCUGCAGUCAGGCUGAUCAACAGGAGUGAAGAUGAAUCCACUCUUUAAUUUAAUCCCAGAGGAUCAAAACUCAUCUCUGAGCUCUCGGAUCAGAACAGAACCUCAUGUGACUGACUGAAGACAAAUGGAGGAUUUUGUUAUGUGCAGCUCCUCUUGUGUUAAAACAAUCUGCAACACUAAACUGAGCAUCUGAUUCACUUCACAAAGAUCAAAACGCAGCAUGUGAGACUGGAUGAAAUGAAAUUCCUCGUCUGAUCUCGAGAGCAGCAGCAGCACAGACGCUCUGCCUGCUAUCAACACUGCAGCCCUCCUGACUGCUGCACACACACCUGCUGUGUGUCUGCUGGAUCCUCAGGGAGUCCUGCGGUUUCCCACAUCCUGCGACAGCUGAGCUCCCAGGUGCCCCGAGCUCGGUCCAGGAGAGCAGGAAGUGUGGAGAGUCAACAGGGAAAUGAGCCAUUAAACGGGAGGAAGAGCCGAGAGAGAGCCGACACAGAGGACGGAAGAGUUCAGGUUUAAUGUAGUAAUGUUUAAUUGAUUCACAACGAGGGACGUGUCAGAGGUCGAGGUCAGGUCCAGAACAGCAAUCCAGGAAAAAGGAAGCGGUUCCUCAGCUCGUCAGCAGGGUGGGAGCGUGCUGUCCCUGGAGAGUCUUGACAUGAUGAGUUUAAAGUCGACACUGACAGCAAAUAUGAAGAAAUAAAACUUCUACUUAAACUAAAGUUACCUGCCGACCUGUGACCUGAUGAUAAACUCCUCUUUUGACCAGUUAGGAGCGUCUAUGCCCGUCCUGUGGCCUGAAACAGCAAACGGCCAACAACUCGCUCUGUGUUCUUGCUCUCUGCUGAGCCCCUCGCGUAUCAGACACCGGAUGAUUGACACAUCAUGUAGCCAAUGAGAUUUCAAUGUGUAGUUUGUGUGAGUUUUUUAAAGGCCUGAACAUGGAAAUUAUACAACUUUGAUGCAGAAU